UACGUAGGGUGCAAGCGUUAAUCGGAAUUACUGGGCGUAAAGCGUGCGCAGGCGGUUUUGUAAGUCUGAUGUGAAAUCUCCGGGCUUAACCCGGAAAGGUCAGCCGAUACUGCGGGGCUAGAGUGCAGAAGGGGCAACUGGAAUUCUCGGUGUAGCGGUGAAAUGCGUAGAUAUCGAGAGGAACACCUGCGGCGAAGGCGGGUUGCUGGGCUGACACGUGACGCUGGAUGCGCGAAAGCUAGGGGAGCGAACGGG
rnacentral:rRNA from 1 species